CCAUUGCAGCCACUGGGAACGGACCUGGAGGGCUGUAGCUUUAGUAGGGGCCCCUGGACUGCAUGCUGCGUGCAGUUGGCAUUCUUCACCUGUGCUUCUGAGGUAGCUCUUCCAGUUCUGUUUUGUCCAAAAGGAAUCCAGGCUGCGCAACUGGGGCCUGCUCUGUGAUGCAAAGUGCAGCACGAGCCUGUCAUACAGAAGUACCAUUUUACAGAGCACAGACACAGAGAGAAUUAAUGAUGUGCAUAAGUCUGCGUAAGGAAAUAUGUUACAGAACUGAUCUUGGGUUUUCUCAGCUUCCGAUGUUUAGCCACUGGACUGGCUCUCCUCGUGCUCCGCAGCACAGUUACAUUCCUUUGUGGCUGUGGCUCUUGGUCAUCCCAUCCAGCACUGCCAAGGAGGCUGCCACAGAUACAGCGAUCAGAAGUUCCAUCAAGAAGACCCUUAUUGACCACGUUUUCUCCUUGCAUCCUGCGUUACAGAAUGGUUGGUUAUACACCUGCCUUUGUGAAGUCAGCUGGAGCUCAGAAGUUGGUUGUACUGAGCUUGGAGACCACAUUCAGACCAAAGCUAAUCUGCACGUUUUUGGUGUAGUUUUGGCAGCAAUUCACCAUUCUGUGCUUACCAUAUGGAGAAAAGGGUUGGGUGUACCUGGGACUGUUUGGCUAUUUGGAGACUGCACUGUGGGCUCCCUUUUUGCAGGGUUCAGUCCUGCUCCAGUGAAAUUGAGGAAAGUUAAGCCCUUGUCCACAUUUGGGGCUAGCUCCAGUCUGCCUACCUGUUAGAUGUAAACACUGCUGCUUUCCCCACAACCCUGCCUGACAGUGCCUCUCUUGGUAACCUCACCAGCUCUGUCUCCAAACUCUCUUCUACCCUCAGCCUACGUGGUUUACCCAGCCCUGUUUGCUGCCCUUCCUUGCCAUCUCUAAUCACAAGUAACAUCGAUGCACAGCCGUGAAUAAAUACUUCUUUAUAGAGAAAAGGAAAGCUGUC
rnacentral:lncRNA from 1 species